GCCCGGGUGGUCUAGUGGUAUGAUUCUCGCUUAGGGGUACAACCCAAGCAUAUCUGCGAGAGGUCCCGCGUUCGAUCCGCGGCUCGGGCC
rnacentral:tRNA from 1 species